ensembl:lncRNA LINC02400 long intergenic non-protein coding RNA 2400
UGGGAAGUACAGAUGACUCCCCAGGUGAGACGGCAUUUGAUUGAGAGCUUAAAACAAGAGUUCCACAGAUGAGGAGAAGAAAGAAGCUUUCACUCCAGGCAGGAGGAACAGUGUGAGGCCCUGAGCAAGAAAGGGUAACAAACCAGCCAACAAAUGGGAGGUUUUUCCUGAGUGCAUGAUGAGAAAGAACUGCCAGGAAAGCUGCAGAACAGAGGUCUGAAAACAUAAGAGAAGCCAGGAAAAUGCAAGUCCUUCCUCCUGACCCUAGAAAAUCUCUGCUGCCAAGGCUGGGACUCUGCUGCCAACUUCAGGCCUGGGAAAACCAAGACUCCAGGAGCUCUACCUCUAGGAUUCUUCCAAACAUCUCACCAUGUCCUCUGAUACCUCUGUAGUCAUCUGCCACAACCUACUUCUGAAUAAAUCCUACAUUCCACCUUUC